rnacentral:rRNA from 1 species
UACGGGGGGGGCAAGCGUUGUUCGGAAUUACUGGGCGUAAAGGGCUCGUAGGCGGUCAACUAAGUCGGACGUGAAAUCCCUCGGCUUAACCAGGGAACUGCGUCCGAUACUGGAUGACUUGAGUUCGGGAGAGGGAUGCGGAAUUCCAGGUGUAGCGGUGAAAUGCGUAGAUAUCUGGAGGAACACCGGUGGCGAAGGCGACAUCCUGGACCGACACUGACGCUGAGGAGCGAAAGCCAGGGGAGCAAACAGG